GUCGAACGCUGGCGGCGUGCUUAACACAUGCAAGUCGAACGAGUGGCGAACGGGUGUGUAAUACGUGGGUAACAUGCCCUCUUUUUGGGAUAAGCCUUGGAAACGGGUUCUAAUACCGAAUUCGGGUGAUGGGCUCGCGGCAUAUCAGCUGGUGGGUGGGGUGAUGGCCUACCAAGGCGGUGACGGGUAGCUGGUCUGAGAGGAUGAUCAGCCACACUGGGACUGAGACACGGCCCAGACUCCUACGGGAGGCAGCAGUGGGGAAUAUUGCACAAUGGGCGCAAGCCUGAUGCAGCCAUGCCGCGUGUAUGAAGAAGGCCUUAGGGUUGUAAAGUACUUUCAGCGGGGAGGCGUUACCCGCAGAAGAAGCACCGGCUAACUCCGUGCCAGCAGCCGCGGUAAUAC
rnacentral:rRNA from 1 species